GCUUAUGCGUUGUUGGGUAGGGGAGCGUUCUGUAAGCCUGUGAAGGUGGCCUGUGAGGGUUGCUGGAGGUAUCAGAAGUGCGAAUGCUGACAUAAGUAACGAUAAAGCGGGUGAAAAGCCCGCUCGCCGGAAGACCAAGGGUUCCUGUCCAACGUUAAUCGGGGCAGGGUGAGUCGACCCCUAAGGCGAGGCCGAAAGGCGUAGUCGAUGGGAAACGGGUUAAUAUUCCCGUACUUGGUGUUACUGCGAAGGGGGGACGGAGAAGGCUAUGUUGGCCGGGCGACGGUUGUCCCGGUUUAAGCGUGUAGGUGUGUGUUCCAGGUAAAUCCGGUUCACUUUAACACUGAGGCGUGACGACGAGGCACUACGGUGCUGAAGCAACAAAUGCCCUGCUUCCAGGAAAAGCCUCUAAGCAUCAGGUAACAUCAAAUCGUACCCCAAACCGACACAGGUGGUCAGGUAGAGAAUACCAAGGCGCUUGAGAGAACUCGGGUGAAGGAACUAGGCAAAAUGGUGCCGUAACUUCGGGAGAAGGCACGCUGACAUGUAGGUGAAGUGAUUUACUCA
rnacentral:rRNA from 1 species